rnacentral:rRNA from 1 species
GACGAACGCUGGCGGCGUGCUUAACACAUGCAAGUCGAACGGAAAGGCCCUGCUUUUGUGGGGUGCGCGAGUGGCGAACGGGUGAGUAACACGUGAGUAACCUGCCCUUGACUGUGGGAUAACUUCAGGAAACUGGGGCUAAUACCGGAUAGGAGCUCCUGCUGCAUGGUGGGGGUUGGAAAGUUUCGGCGGUUGGGGAUGGACUCGCGGCUUAUCAGCUUGUUGGUGGGGUAGUGGCUUACCAAGGCUUUGACGGGUAGCCGGCCUGAGAGGGUGACCGGCCACCUCGGGACUGAGAUACGGCCCAGACGCCUACGGGAGGCAGCAGUGGGGAAUAUUGCACAAUGGGCGGCAGCCUGAUGAAGCAACGCCGCGUGCUGGAUGAAGGCCUUCGGGUUGUAAACCGCUUUCGCCUGUGACGAAGCGUGAGUGACGGUAAUGGGUAAAGAAGCACCGGCUAACUCCGUG